rnacentral:rRNA from 1 species
UACGUAGGGUGCGAGCGUUGUCCGGAAUUAUUGGGCGUAAAGAGCUCGUAGGUGGUCUGUUGCGUCGGCUGUGAAAUCCCGAGGCUCAACCUCGGGCCUGCAGCCGAUACGGGCAGACUAGAGUUCGGCAGGGGAGACUGGAAUUCCUGGUGUAGCGGUGAAAUGCGCAGAUAUCAGGAGGAACACCGGUGGCGAAGGCGGGGUCUCUGGGACGGUACUGACGCUGGAGACGCGAAAGCGUGGGAGCGAACAGGAUUAGAUACCGAGUA